CCUGAAGGCGGUCUCUAACCAGGGACCACGAGCUUCACGACAUUAAAGUCCGCAGCUACCGCAGGUUGGAGCACCAAUGGCCGACCCUUGGCAAAGGAAUCGCCUGCUCCAAGAUGUUAAAGUCCGCAGGCUCCGCGGUUUUGAAGCUCUAGAAGUCCCAAACAAGAGGCCACCAACUCUAUGAUGCUAGACCGCAGCGCGGACAGAGAUACGACACGGAAAAAGUUGCAUCUCCGUCAGGGAAAUAAAAAGUUUCCCCCACCCCCCCUCCCCCCCACAAAUACAAUAACUAAAGAUAAGCUAAAACAUACAUUGUACAACAAACUAAAAACACAAAGAAUGUAAAAGACGAAGACAGACGGUUGGCGAGGCAGUCAUCGUGCAGCGCCCCC